UACGUAGGGAGCGAGCGUUGUCCGGAUUCAUUGGGCGUAAAGAGCUCGUAGGCGGCUUGGCAAGUCGGGUGUGAAAACUCCAGGCUCAACCUGGAGACGCCACCCGAUCACCUGCCAUGGCUAGAGUCCGGUAGGGGGACCACGAAUUCCUGGUGUAGCGGUGAAAUGCGCAGAUAUCAGGAGGAACACCGGUGGCGAAGGCGGCUUGCUGGGCCAGUUCUGACGCUGAGGAGCGAAAGCGUGGGGAGCGAACAGG
rnacentral:rRNA from 1 species